rnacentral:rRNA from 17 species
CUUGACCUCGGAUCAGGUAGGGAUACCCGCUGAACUUAA